GGGCAGGAGAAGAGACUCGAGCGGCACCCGAGCCGCAUCCACGCCGCCCGCCCGCCCCUGGGGUCUGGGUAGGUAACGGGCCCGGCGGGAAGGAGGGGCUCCCAGGCCGUCCCUCCCAGCGCUCACCUCAGCUCCUCGUCGACAUUCCCGCGGGGCUGUUCGGCCGACGCCACCAUAGAGGAAGUCGUAGAGGUCUUGUUCUUCAAGAUCCCCUUGAUGGGCCGGUGCGAGGCCGUCGAGGCCGCCAUUGCCGGGCGCUCCGGCUGUCGGCUCAGGGUCGCUGCUUGGCGUGGGGUCCGCGAAGAGAAGGGUCGGCACAGCAGAGACUCGCAGGCAGCCGCAGAUCCCGCUCAGGGCUAAAGCGGCCGCAACUGCUGCCUCGGAAACGGCUACCGCAGCGGUUGUCACGACACAACGACCCCGACGCCAGAGCCAACGCCGAACGGGUGGCGGCUACUCGCGCACCCUUAGCCACUGGCACUUGACCCGCGGCUCGCGGAGAGACGCCGGCCUAGAGCUCCAGCGCAGGAGCGACGCGACGCCGAAGCCAAGCGGACCCGCCCUCUCGCGAUAUCUAGGGAGGAGGCGGGGAGAGGGCGGGGCGAGAACAAAGCCGACCUCCUCGCCCCGCCCCCUCCGUCCCGCCCGGGCUGCUCGCCCCGCCCCCGCGCGGCGCUGGGAGGCGGGAGCUGUCUCUGAGAACCUGCGGGAGAGCGCCCGGGCUUGCUGCUUCCCGGACCCGCGCGUCUCUCGAGCACCCUCGUCCCACCACCUUGUGAGGCCGUAGUGUUAUUUUUAUUUUUUAGAUCAGCAGACUGAGACUCGAGGUGACGUCACUCCGCAGAGAGGUUAGCUGACUUGAAGAAAACGGGUAUCUCCUCUUUCCAUUUCGCCCGUGUAAACAGCCGAACUGCCUAUUAUAAAAGCAUGGACUGCCAGCAUUGGAGUGGUCCUUAGAGGCCUAUUAUGAAAUCAUAGAAUGUCUGCAUUGGAAUCGCCUCACCUCCUUUUACCGCUGGAGAAGCCGACGGACAGACGGGCAGCGACCCCCGCCGUCGCACAACCCGUCUAGGCAGAGAGCGCAGGAGACGGGAGGGCGGCAGGGACACAUCUCCCAGCCAAGGACCUCCUGGGCCCGCAGAGGCCGCGACAGGUUCCCCCCACAGAGGGAACCAACUCUGCCGCAGGUUGAUGUGGACUUCAAGCCUGCAGAACGGAGAGCCCAUUUCCAUUGCUUAAAGCCACCUCGUGUGUGGUAUUUGUUAUGGUCCCUGUACACUCCCUUCCCUCCCUCUCCCAAGUCCAGUCCGCAGCUCGCUCAUCACCAGGCUCUUUUCCAUGACUCUUUCUUGAUCAGGCCUUUUUAUCGUCCUCACCACAGGUAAUCCCUCCCCGGAAAGAGAAGAUCACAGAUUUUGUCAUAUUAAAUACAUUGUAGAAAUUCAUGGUAGCAGGGGCAAGAUCAUUUAAACAAAACAGAAAGUUUCAGAGAGAGAAAAAGCCAAGGACAAAGAUUAAUCAUUUUUCUGCUUAAAAAAAAUGGCUUUGAUUUGCAACCAUGGAAUGCUCCACUGUUUCUCUUCUCUUCAAAGACAUCUACUGAAAGGAUUCCUUAACCUUACCAAGUGGCCAAAAUACUUUUCUGAGAAGAGUCACAGAGCAUAGGCCCCCCUAGGGUACACAGAGAUUUCAUUAGUCCCUAGAUGUUUCCUGAUCCUUUUAAAAACUGGUUAAAUUCAGAGACUCUAGGCAAUUACUUCUUUCAGAACCUGUGAGGCAAAAACGAAAGAAGAAGGCAGGACACGCAGUGUAACAAACCUUGGAAUGAUUGGUCUGAGGACUCCGCUUUCUUCACUGCCCAUUCAUCUUCAUACUGUUCUCAUAUUUUUUUUUAAAUUGGGAUAUGCAAUGAUCCUUAGUUUAUAAAUUCAACUCCACUUUGCCACA
rnacentral:lncRNA from 1 species